AAAAGAGAAGAGAAUGAAGAAUUGAUGCAUAAAAUAAAAGAUUAUGAAAGAGAUACAUUGAAACUGGACCAGGAAAUAUC
rnacentral:lncRNA from 1 species